AACGAACGCUGGCGGCAGGCUUAACACAUGCAAGUCGAACGCCCCGCCCGGGGAUUGGCAGACGGGUGAGUAGCGCGUGGGAAUCUACCCACCUCUACGGACUAACCUAUGGUAACGUGUGCUAAUACCGUAUACGCCCUACGGCGGGAAGAUUUAUCGGGGUUGGAUGAGGCCGCGUUGGAUUAGCGAGUUGGUGGGGUAAAGGCCUACCUAGGCGACGAUCCAUAGCUGUUCUGAGAGGAUGAUCAGCCACAUUGGGACUGAGACACGGCCCAAACUCCUACGGGAGGCAGCAGUGGGGAAUAUAGGACAAUGGGCGCAAGCCUGAUCCAGCCAUGCCGCGUGAGUGAUGAAGGCCUUAGGGUUGUAAAGCUCUUUCACCGGAGAAGAUAAUGACGGUAUCCGGAGAAGAAGCCCCGGCUAACUACGUG
rnacentral:rRNA from 1 species